UCCGUAGGCGGUGCGGCAAGUCGGAAGUGAAAUCUCAGGGCUUAACCCUGAGGCUGCUUCCGAAACUGCCGUGCUCGAGUGCGAGAGAGGCGAGUGGAAUUGCAGGUGUAGCGGUGAAAUGCGUAGAUAUCUGCAGGAACAUCCGAGGCGAAAGCGGCUCGCUGGAUCGCAACUGACGCUGAGGGACGAAAGCUAGGGGAGCAAACAGGAUUAGAUACCCUGGUAGUCCUAGCCCUAAACGAUCAGGACUGGGCGUGGGCCCCGUACGGGGCUCGUGCCGCAGCUAACGCGUUAAGUCCUGCGCCUGGGGAGUACGGUCGCAAGGCUGAA
rnacentral:rRNA from 1 species